rnacentral:rRNA from 1 species
AUUGAACGCUGGCGGCAGGCCUAACACAUGCAAGUCGAGCGGAUCUGCGGACGGGUGAGUAAUGCCUAGGAAUCUUCCUGGUAUUGGGGGAUAACAUCCGGAAACGGGCGCUAAUACCGCAUACUCUCAGAUGAGCCUAGGUCGGAUUCGCUAGUUGGUAGGGUAAAGGCCUACCAAGGCGACGAUCCGUAACUGUUCUGACAGGAUGAUAAGUCACACUGGAACUGAGAAACGGGCAAGACUCGCACGGGAGGCAGCAGUGGGGAAUAUUGGACAAUGGGCGAAAGACUGAUCAAGAAAUGCCGCGUGUGUGAAGAAGGUCUUCGGAUUGUAAAGAACUUUAAGUUGGGAGGCGUUACCAACAGAAUAAGCACCGGCUAACUUCGUGCCAGCAGCCGCGGUAAUUC